AACGAACGCUGGCGGCAUGCCUAACACAUGCAAGUCGAACGGGAUCCUAGCUUGCUAGGUGAGAGUGGCGGACGGGUGAGUAACACGUGGGAAUCUGCCUUUUGGUUCGGGAUAACCGCGGGAAACUGCGGCUAAUACCGAAUGCCCUCGAGAGAGGAAAGAUUUAUCGCCAGAAGAGGAGCCCGCGUCCGAUUAGGUAGUUGGUGGGGUAAAGGCCUACCAAGCCGACGAUCGGUAGCUGGUCUGAGAGGAUGAUCAGCCACACUGGGACUGAGAUACGGCCCAGACUCCUACGGGAGGCAGCAGUGGGGAAUAUUGGACAAUGGGGGCAACCCUGAUCCAGCAAUGCCGCGUGAGUGAUGAAGGCCUUAGGGUUGUAAAGCUCUUUUGCCAGGGAAGAUGAUGACUGUACCUGGAGAAUAAAGCCCCCGGCUAACUUCGUGCCAGCAGCCGCGGUAAU
rnacentral:rRNA from 1 species